UGAGGAAUAUUGGUCAAUGGGCGGGAGCCUGAACCAGCCAAGCCGCGUGAGGGAAUAAGGCCCUACGGGUCGUAAACCUCUUUUGUCGGGGAACAAAACCGGAGACAAGUCUCCGGCUGCGUGUACCCGAAGAAAAAGCAUCGGCUAACUCCGUGCC
rnacentral:rRNA from 1 species